rnacentral:rRNA from 1 species
UUACCCACUCCCGGCACGGGGAGGUAGUGACGAAAAAUAACGAUACGGGACUCAUCCGAGGCCCCGUAAUCGGAAUGAGUACACUCUAAACCCUUUAACGAGGAUCANNUGGNGGGCAAGUCUGGUGCCAGCAGCCGCGGUAAUUCCAGCUCCAAUAGCGUAUAUUAAAGUUGUUGCGGUUAAAAAGCUCGUAGUCGAAUUUGUGUCCCGCGCCGUCGGUUCAUCGUCCGCGGUGUUAACUGGCGUGUCGCGAGACGUCCUGCCGGUGGGCUUAGCUCUCACGGGCGGCCCAACUCAAUCCUGCCGCGGUGCUCUUCAUUGAGUGUCGAGGUGGGCCGGCACGUUUACUUUGAACAAAUUAGAGUGCUUAAAGCAGGCUAAAACUUCGCCUGAAUACUGUGUGCAUGGAAUAAUGGAAUAGGACCUCGGUUCUAUUUUGUUGGUUUUCGGAACCCCGAGGUAAUGAUUAAUAGGAACGGAUGGGGGCAUUCGUAUUGCGACGUUAGAGGUGAAAUUCUUGGAUCGUCGCAAGNNGAACAGAAGCGAAAGCAUUUGCCAAAAACGCUUUCAUUGAUCAAGAACGAAAGUUAGAGGUUCGAAGGCGAUCAGAUACCGCCCUAGUUCUAACCAUAAACGAUGCCAGCUAGCGAUCCGUCGACGUUCCUCCGAUGACUCGACGGGCAGCUUCCGGGAAACCAAAGCUUUUGGGUUCCGGGGGAAGUAUGGUUGCAAAGCUGAAACUUAAAGGAAUUGACGGAAGGGCACCACCAGGAGUGGAGCCUGCGGCUUAAUUUGACUCAACACGGGAAACCUCACCAGGCCCGGACACCGGAAGGAUUGACAGAUUGAGAGCUCUUUCUUGAUUCGGUGGGUGGUGGUGCAUGGCCGUUCUUAGUUGGUGGAGCGAUUUGUCUGGUUAAUUCCGAUAACGAACGAGACUCUAGCCUGCUAACUAGGCGUAUUACGACAUCCUAAAGGCCCGCCGGCUCGGGN